rnacentral:rRNA from 1 species
GAUGAACGCUGGCGGCGUGCCUAAUACAUGCAAGUCGAGCGAACAGAUGAGGAGCUUGCUCCUCUGACGUUAGCGGCGGACGGGUGAGUAACACGUGGAUAACCUACCUAUAAGACUGGGAUAACUUCGGGAAACCGGAGCUAAUACCGGAUAAUAUAUUGAACCGCAUGGUUCAAUAGUGAAAGACGGUUUUGCUGUCACUUAUAGAUGGAUCCGCGCCGCAUUAGCUAGUUGGUAAGGUAACGGCUUACCAAGGCAACGAUGCGUAGCCGACCUGAGAGGGUGAUCGGCCACACUGGAACUGAGACACGGUCCAGACUCCUACGGGAGGCAGCAGUAGGGAAUCUUCCGCAAUGGGCGAAAGCUUGACGGAGCAACGCCGCGUGAGUGAUGAAGGUCGUCGGAUCGUAAAACUCUGUUAUUAGGGAAGAACAAAUGUGUAAGUAACUAUGCACGUCUUGACGGUACCUAAUCAGAAAGCCACGGCUAACUACG